rnacentral:rRNA from 1 species
AACGAACGCUGGCGGCAGGCUUAACACAUGCAAGUCGAACGCCCCGCAAGGGGAGUGGCAGACGGGUGAGUAACGCGUGGGAACGUACCUUUCAGUUCGGAAUAACUCAGGGAAACUUGUGCUAAUACCGGAUACGCCCGCAAGGGGAAAGAUUUAUCGCUUAAAGAUCGGCCCGCGUUGGAUUAGCUAGUUGGGGGGUAAAGGCCUACCAAGGCGACGAUCCAUAGCUGGUCUGAGAGGAUGAUCAGCCACACUGGGACUGAGACACGGCCCAGACUCCUACGGGAGGCAGCAGUGGGGAAUAUUGGACAGUGGGCGAAAGCCUGAUCCAGCCAUGCCGCGUGUGUGAUGAAGGCCUUAGGGUUGUAAAGCACUUUCACCGAUGAAGAUAAUGACGGUAGUCGGAGAAGAAGCCCCGGCUAACUUCGUGCCAGCCGCCGCCGUAA